ACACACACACACACACACACUCAUUGGCACUACUUAUACUUACUGUUAUACUUGUGAGUGAAAAGAGAGGGAGGGGGACAAGAAAGUCCUUAUGCCGCAACUGUGUAGAGAAGCAGGAAGGAUUCAGGGCAAACAACAGAAAAACAUCAACAGCUGAGCUGACUAUCUCACAUUCCUUUCCUUUUCUGUGUAAUCUCCAACUAGGACUGGACAAUGACCGCAUGCAGGGGAAAAACCACUUCCCAUAUUCUGAAAAGUGCGCAAGGCUGCAUAUGAAAAUACAAAACAGUACUCAUCGCAUUACAGUUGCAGUACUCUGUCCCAAACUUUGUGAUGGAUUACUAUGAAACAUUUCGGAAAAUUAAUGAAACACACACAACAAAGAGUCGGACGAAAGCUCUGGAGCGAGGGAUUGACAGAGAGAGAAAGGAAGAAGAGAAGCGUGGCGGCGAUUUGGCAGCUGCCCGGUGCCCAGCUGCAUUGGAAAACUCCUGCCGCCUUUUCCUUUGCGGUGGUUCCCUCCCGGAGUGGUUUGUUUGGGGGACUGGUGUCCUGGGUGGGUGUCUGGCUACGCUCCCCUGCUGCAGAUCUGGCUGCUGGGGCUGUGACUGUGGCUGUACCUCCUGGGGAGCUGAGGAAUGGAGGUCUGGCCACAGAACCAGAGACAGUAUCCAUAGAAGCCAAUGAGUGGAAGAGAGCAGCCUCACAUGAUCAUUAGCACCACUUCUGGACUAUGCUGUACUCUAGAGGCUGUGGACUGUGUAGAGACUGAGAGACGAGUGGAGUCAGACCCAGUCGGUAUCAGAUGUGGUGACCCCACUUGGUGACCCGGCCCGCCUGUGGGGAAAACAACCUGUGGUUACCAUGUUGGUUCACGGCAAAAACUUGACCUUUUUCAAAUGUAUUUUUCUUGCUGUCUGCUUGUUUUAGUCAAUUACAAAACUACAUUUAAGAAAAGUACAACAUGUCUAAAGAUUACUUUUCAACAUUGCCUGCUCCCGAGCGUUCUCACUACUUAGAAAUACGUAAUAUUGUAUGUUGUAGGGGUUCCCUCAUGCCCCUUUUCAUGAUGGUGAUAGCAGCCAUGUGAGUGCUAGCUAGGUAGCGACCGGAACAUUAAGCUAGCCAAGACCAACAACACAAACAAAAGGACUAUACUAAACAAGUUAAAUGUCUUGCCUGUGAUGAAAUGUUUUCCACACACAUAGCUACGUAUAGUCUACUUGGACACCGCAUACCCACAUUUCCCACUCUCCCACUCUGAAUACCCUGAAGCCUGAAGUGUGUGUAUGUGCUGUGUGCAAGUGUUAAACUUCAAGAACAUUGACAAGAGGCAGUAGGCCUUAAACAUUGAGAGCAUUAAUAAGCUGUAUGUUACAGUGACUUUUGUGUUGUUUAUAGUGCCAUUAAAACAAUUCUGAUGCAUAUUAUUUUGUGUUUCUUUCCCAUAAAAUCAAAACAUAGUAUGCCUGUAACUCAAUGUAUAGGAAAAUUGUUUAUUUGUGGCCAAAUCUGAGCUAAUUCUAAAAUUGCGACUAAUCGCGAUUAAGGGAUGCCAUUAAGUCGAUUCAUUAUUUUAAUUAUUUAACAGCCCUAGUUUAUGUUGUACCCUGGUGGGUUAGGGGAAGGGUUAACUGCAUUUAAACUGCAGUUAUUGAUGACCCAUUGACAAGGCAUUAUAACACUUAAACUUAAACUUUAAGAUAUGAAGAUAGACUAGAAAAAACCAUGCCAAAAUAUCAAGUCAACCGUGUUGAUAUUGUUGAAAAUGUUGUUUUAAUAUAAUUUUGAGAUCGGAUAGUCCUACCCAUUUAGAUGAGAUGUUGCUAGACUGAGUGUACAAAAUAUUAGGAACACCUGCUCUUUCCAUGACAUAGACUGACUAAGUAAAUCCAGGUGGAAUCUAUGAUCCCUUAUUGAUGUCACUUGUUAAAUCCACUUCAAUCAGUGUAGAUGAAGGGAAGAAGAAAGGUUAAAGAAAGAUUUGUAAGCUUUGAGACAAUUGAGACAUGGAUUGUGUAUGUGUGCCAUUCGAAGGGUGAAUGGGCAAGACAAAAUAUGUGCCUUUGAAUGGGGUAUGGUAGUAGGUGCCAGGCACACCGGUUUGAGUAUGUCAAAAAACUGCAAUGCUGCUGGGUUUUUCACGUUCAACAGUUUCCUAUGUGUAUCAAGAAUGGUGCACCACUCAAAGGACAUCCAGCCAACUUGACACAACUGUGGGAAGCAUUGGAGUCAACAUGGGCCAGCAUCCCUGUGGAACGCUUUCGACAUCUUGUAGAGUCCAUGCCCUGAUGAGUUGAGGCUGUUCUGAGGGCAAAAUUAGGUGCAACUCAAGAGUAGGAAGGUGUUCCUAAUGUUUUGUACACUCAGUGUAUACCAUAUCUGCUUGGUUUCUCAGGUUCUAUGUGGGGGAGUUUUGAAAAUAUAUAUCUUACAGGAAACCACCUAUUUAUAAUGAUAUAAUUGUCUUUCUCUUUUACAUGUAUACUUUUCAGAAUAUCUCACAUUGAUCAUGUACUGCAUGUAAACAAAACAAUUUACAAUUGCAUUUGCAACGUUCCUAUUUUCCAACAAUAAAGAUUAUGAAACAUG